GAUGAACGCUGGCGGCGUGCCUAAUACAUGCAAGUCGAGCGAACAGACGAGGAGCUUGCUCCUCUGACGUUAGCGGCGGACGGGUGAGUAACACGUGGAUAACCUACCUAUAAGACUGGGAUAACUUCGGGAAACCGGAGCUAAUACCGGAUAAUAUAUUGAACCGCAUGGUUCAAUAGUGAAAGACGGUUUUGCUGUCACUUAUAGAUGGAUCCGCGCCGCAUUAGCUAGUUGGUAAGGUAACGGCUUACCAAGGCGACGAUGCGUAGCCGACCUGAGAGGGUGAUCGGCCACACUGGAACUGAGACACGGUCCAGACUCCUACGGGAGGCAGCGGUAGGGAAUCUUCCGCAAUGGGCGAAAGCCUGACGGAGCAACGCCGCGUGAGUGAUGAAGGUCUUCGGAUCGUAGAACUCUGUUAUUAGGGAAGAACAAAUGUGUAAGUAACUAUGCACGUCUUGACGGUACCUAAUCAGAAAGCCACGGCUAACUACGUG
rnacentral:rRNA from 1 species